rnacentral:rRNA from 1 species
CCAGAGAACUUAGCAGAGAUGCUUUGGUGCCUUCGGGGAACUCUGAGACAGGUGCUGCAUGGCUGUCGUCAGCUCGUGUUGUGAAAUGUUGGUUAAGUCCCGCAACGAGCGCAACCCUUAUCCUUUGUUGCCAGCGGCUCGGCCGGGAACUCAAAGGAGACUGCCGGUGAUAAACCGGAGGAAGGUGGGGAUGACGUCAAGUCAUCAUGGCCCUUACGGCCAGGGCUACACACGUGCUACAAUGGCGCAUACAAAGAGAAGCGACCUCGCGAGAGCAAGCGGACCUCAUAAAGUGCGUCGUAGUCCGGAUUGGAGUCUGCAACUCGACUCCAUGAAGUCGGAAUCGCUAGUAAUCGUAGAUCAGAAUGCUACGGUGAAUACGUUCCCGGGCCUUGUACACACCGCCCGUCACACCAUGGGAGUGGGUUGCAAAAGAAGUAGGUAGCUUAACCUUCGGGAGGGCGCUUACCACUUUGUGAUUCAUGACUGGGGUGAAGUCGUAACAAGGUAGGCGUAGCGAG